AUGUGUUUAAAUGUAAAUAAUAGCAUCUUCUUUCUUAAACAGGCAUCCUUGUGUUAUUAAUUUUUUUACAAAAAUAAAUAAGAGUUCAAAAUAAAAAUAUUAAUUUAUGAAAUAAGAAGAAUUAGGAAAAGUAUUUUUGAUUCAACAUUUACAAAGUGAAUCAGGAGAAAAAGUGUUGGUAAUUUAUUUUGAAACAGAUUGUAUCACGAGAAGAAGUGGUAAGAAUAGUAAAAUUCUUUGAUUCAACAUUUACGGAUUGAUUUGAAUAAGAAGCUGAUGUACCGUUAAACUGAAGGUGGUAAUAAAGUUUACAAAAUUCGCUCUGGCUGAAUUUUUCAAUGAAAAAACAAUAUGUGUGCCAUGAAUGUAAUGUGUUUCAUGGCGGAUCAAUGAAAGUUUGGUGUAUUGGCCAAAUCACUUACAAGCAUCUUGCAUUUAGGCUGCCAUACGUCACAUCACAAUUUUAAAAGUAACUGAAAGCAGCUGAAAAUAAGAAUUUUUCGAUGAACUUUCUUACUUCGGUUAGAGGAGAUGAGAAACAACUUACAGCGGCAAUCUUAAUACAGCUAAUGACCAAAGAAGUAUGUUUUUCAUACUCAUUGUAUGAAAGAAAACAAAAACGUCCUGCAAGGUCGUUAUAGCGUUUAGUUAUUUAUCGUUGUAUUCGUUCAUUUCGAAAUCGCUACUGACAAAAGUAUUAAAGAAAAAAUUGGCAGCUUUCUGGCGACGGCCAUUAAUAGAGAUUAUGGAAGAAAAAUAGAACCGUAACUGAGCAACGCCCAAUAUUGAGCAAUGAAAUAAGUAUUGCCAAUAUAAUGAAAGUCGAUGCCCACUAUCUCAGUGAGAGUAUAAUA